UCCGCCUGGUGUCCUGCGUCGAAAUUGGUGCGUAAUCUCCAGCUGCAAGUAUUCUUCCAUGUGAUUCCGAGGAGAAACCAAACUUCCACGAACGAUAUAUCAUUUUACUUGCGUUUGCUUUUAGUAACAUUCAAGAUGCUUUGACGGUGCGUUAUCUCCUGCGUUUUUAUUACUUUUUCAUUGAAACUGUUAUUGAGCCAUAUCAAUAGUUUGCACAGUCGCAGCCCUGAUUUCUGCUUGCUCUGUGGUAUUGACGGAUGCACUGAGGAAUUUAGAGUGUACAAUUCCUUCCAUCAUGUAAAGAGAAACCACCUUCAACACCUACUUGAUUGCACCCGAACAGACGAACAGCCAUCGGAGGAAAGCCAAGCACCACCGGAACAACUUCUAGCUAACUCCAGCAUCACUGAUCAGCAACUCCAUACACCUGACUCAGAUAAGGGGCAUUAACCAACAUGGAGCUGUCACAGUGCAACAAAAAGGUGUGAAUGACAUUGUUGCUGGGGUACAGCAAUAUCAAUCAUCACUAUUGGACAACCUCAGGAAGCAGAUGGAGGCAAUGCUAAAGAAGCAUUCAGGAUGCACAUCAGGUCUUCUUGAAAAAUAUGCAAUGGAUAUAUUUGACAAUUUCAUUGAGCCUUUUGUUGGCGUUGCAACAACAUUUAGACAGGACAGUGUUAUUAAGAAGCAGUUUAGCUGUUUGGAUGCAGAGGAAAUUCACAUUGCUCAAACCAUAUGCAGGAUGAACUGUGGAGGAUCAAAAGUCAUUUUCAUCUUAGACAAAUUAUUUUAUUAUGUACCAUUAGUCAAAAGUCUAGAACAGUUCUUAUCACACCCAAGGAUUUUGUCUGAUUGAAAAAAGACCCCAGAUGUGCAGGGAAUGAUUUUUUUUCAUGACAUUGUUGAUGGUGCUCUUCUAAAAUCACAUCCCUUAUUUUCAGAGAAACCAAAUGCAUUGCAUAUUGUUCUGUACAUGGAUGAAAUAGAGAUCUGUAACCUACUAGGAUCCUGUGCAUCAACAAACAAGUUGUUAAUGGUGUACUACACCCUAGGAAAUAUACAUCCAAAAUACAGGUCUAAACUGGCUGCUAUCAGGCUACUUGCCAUGGCUAGAUCAGCAGACCUCUGUCAAUCUGGUGUAGAUGUAAUAUUGAAUAGAAUCAAGGAAGACAUGGAUGCAUUCAUUGUACAGUGGGGUUAAAUGCUAACUAUUAACUGAGAGAAAACAAUAUAUGGUGCCAUGGUCUCUCUGUGGAGACACCCUGGCACAACAUAAACUAGCAGGGUUCAAAGAGGGUGUGGGCUUUGCCUACAGUAAGUGCAGACACUGUGAGUGUUAUUUUGAGGACAUGCAGUCACACUUCAUUGAGGAUGCAUAUACUAAAAGGACAUUGGAAAAGCAUGUCAGACAGUGUGAUGAAAUAGAAAAGGCACAGACGGACUUGCUACGCAACAGCCUGAGAACAACAUAUGGGAUCAAUAGAAGGAGCAAGUUAGUUGAAUUCCCAGCCUUUGUUAUCAUGCAACAAACUCCGCAAUUAUAAUAAUAUUUAUAAUAAUUAUGCAUGUGAUUCUGGAGGGCAUAGCCCCAUUGGAAAUCAAAUGUGUUUUGAAUCAUCUUGUUGUGUCAGGACAGAUUGAUCGGGACUCAGUGAAUUCUGCUAUUCUUGGUUUCCUUUAUUCCCCUCUAGAUGUUAGAGAUCGGCCAUCCCCAAUUUCUGUUCGUACAUUAACGUCAAGUGAUGGUUAACUAAAACAGUCAUCUGGGCAAAUGCUUGUCCUGAUAAGGAUAUUGCCAUUUGUUUUGGAGAGUUUGGAAGUCAAUGCAUAUAUACAACUGAUAAUUGAGCUAAUAAAGAUUGUACAGAUAAUAUUUGCACCUGUUCCUUCCAUUGUGACUUUGUCUAGGUUGAAGUUACUCAUUGAAAAUCAUUUGAAGCAUUGGAAGGAGCUUUUUCCAGACCACAAUGUUACACCUAAACAACAUUAUAUGAUACGUUUGCCAUCACAGAUAAAGACAUUGGGUCCAAUGGUUAGACAUAUGUGUAUGCGGUUUGAGUCUAAACAUUGUUUCUUUAAACAAUGAGCUUUCAAGCUCAAUUUAAAAAAAUAUUUGUAAGUCUUUGAUCAAUCAGAACCAAAUAUAUGAAAGCUGCAGAAAUGUUGACAGUUCAAUCCACCCAAUUGUUUCAAAUGAAAGGGAGAUGGGACCUGUAUCAGAGGUUAAAGAUCUAAAUUAUUUACAUGGAAAAUUGAGGAACUUCCUAGGUUUCAAUGAAGUCAAUACUAAUAAAUACAUAACUCAGAAGUCCAUGAUAUUUGCCAAAAUACUGAAUUGUAAUAUGCCAGAAUUUGGACUGGUCAAAAACAUAUUUCUUGUUGAUUCUAGGCUUCAUUGUUUGGAAUAUCAACCAUUUCAAACGAUACACUUUGAUAGAAAUGUCAUGGCUUAUCAAGUUGAGGUCCUACACUUGCACAGGCCACUGAGUUAGGGGAUGCUGAAAAGCAGUUUGAGUUUACCUCUUAUUACACAAUUAGCAACAAUAGCCAAACUUAUGUACAAGUCAAAUACCAUCUUGGGGAUGUAGCAGAAUUGUACAACAGUUCAAAGUGUGUUCCCCAUAUAUGAAAAGUGUACUGUCUUUGUUCUGUACUGUAUUUUCUCUACAUGAUUGCUGUGUGUAAGAUUGACAAUAAAACAGUGAAUUCCA